GGCCGGUUAGCUCUCAUGGUUAGAGCGUGGUGCUGAUAACACCAAGGUCACGGGUUCAGAUCCCGUACCGGCCA